rnacentral:miRNA from 1 species
UAUAUACAUAGAUGUAUCCAUAAAUCUCUUAAAGAGACUGUAUAUAUAUAUAUAUAUAUAUAUAUAUAUAUAUAUAUAUAUAUACAGUCUCUUUAAGAGAUUUAUGGAUACAUCUAUGUAUAUA